rnacentral:lncRNA from 1 species
GCGAGAGCUCGUGAGCGGAAGCUCGUGGUGUCGGGAAGGCAUGAGAGGUAGCUCGUGAGCGGAAGCUCGUGGUGCCGGAAGGCAUGAGCAAGAGCUCGUGAGCGUGAAGCUCAAGGGUGCCGCGAAGGCGUGAGCGGUAGCUCUUGAGCAGAAGCUCAUGGUGCUGGAAGGCAUGAGCGGGAGCUCGUGAGCGUGAAGCUCAAGGGUACAGCGAAGGCGUGAGCAUGACAGCUCGGCGGUGCCGCUGCGGCGAGAGCGUGAGAGAUCGAGGAUGCCGCUGAGCCGAGAGCACGACAGCUCGGCGGUACCGCUGCAGCGAGAGCGUGAGAGCUCGAGGAUGCCGCUGAGCAGAGAGCAUGACAGCUCGGCGGUGCCGCUGAGGCGAGAGCGUGAGAGCUCAUGGAUGCCGCUGAGCCGAGAGCAUGACAGUUCGGCGGUACCGCUGCUGCGAGAGCGUGAUAGCUCGAGGAUGCCGCUGAUUUUAGAGCACGACAGCUCGGUGGUACAGCUGCGGCUAGAGCGUGAGAGCUCGAGGAUGACGCUGAGGCGAGAGAGUGAGAGCUCGAGGAUGCCGCUGAUUUUAGAGCACGACAGCUCGGUGGUACAGCUGCGGCUAGAGCGUGAGAGCUCGAGGAUGACGCUGAGGCGAGAGAGUGAGAGCUCGAGGAUGCCGCUGAGGCGAGAGCACGACAGCUCGGCGGUACCGCUACGACGAGAGCGUGAGAGCUCGAGGAUGCCGCUGAGCCGAGAGCACGACAGCUCAGCGGUACCGCUGCGGCGAGAGCGUGAGAGCUCGUGGAUGCCGCUGAGGCUUUAACGGGUAGC